rnacentral:rRNA from 1 species
AUUGAACGCUGGCGGCAGGCCUAACACAUGCAAGUCGAACGAGUGGCGGACGGGUGAGUAAUGUCUGGGAAACUGCCCGAUGGAGGGGGAUAACUACUGGAAACGGUAGCUAAUACCGCAUACCAUCGGAUGUGCCCAGAUGGGAUUAGCUAGUAGGUGGGGUAACGACUCACCAAGGCGACGAUCCCUAGCUGGUCUGAGAGGGUGACCGGCCACACUGGAACUGAGACACGGUCCAGACUCCUACGGGAGGCAGCAGUAGGGAAUAUUGCACAAUGGGCGCAAGCCUGAUGCAGCCAUGCCGCGUGAGUGAAGAAGGUCUUCGGGUUGUAAAGCACUGUUAGCGAGGAGGCGGUACUCGCAGAAGAAGCACCGGCUAACUCCGUGCCAGCCGCCGCGGUAAUUC